rnacentral:ncRNA from 2 species
UGGGCGGUAUCCAAGUGAACUGCACCUUAAGCCAGGACAAUUAAAAAUGGUUUCUGCCUAGAUCCGUAAAGGACCGGGACAGAGGG